AUUGAACGCUGGCGGCAGGCCUAACACAUGCAAGUCGAGCGAGCGGCCGACGGGAGAGUAAUGUAUGGGGACUGCCCGAUAGAGGGGGAUAACUACUGGAAACGGUAGCUAAUACCGCAUACUAUCGGAUAACCCAUAUGGGAUUAGCUAGUAGGUGAGGUAAUGUCUCACCUGGGCGACGAUCCCUAGCUGGUCUGAGAGGAUGAUCAGGCACACUGGGAGUGAGACACGGCCCGGACUCCUACGGAGGCAGGAGGGGGGAAUAGUGCACAAUGGGCGAGAGCCUGAUGCAGCCGUGCCGAGUGUAUGAAGAAGGCCCUAGGGUUGUAAAGUACUUUCAGUCGGGAGGCGUUACCGACAGAAGAGGCACCGGCUAACUCCGUGCCAGCAGCGGGGGUAAUAC
rnacentral:rRNA from 1 species